GGGGAUGUCCUGGCUUUGACAGCAUGACGAAGUGGUUUGUAAGCAUGUAGUGCUGCGCCCAUAAGCACUCUAAUCUCUGUGAGCAAAAAUUUAACUGGCGAAAAUAACUACGCUCUCGCUGCGUAACCGAAGAACAGUAGGUUCACACGCUUCAUCACGGUGACAGAUCACUGUGACGAGACAUCACUCAGGUAGCCGUUCUCUCCGAGGCGACUUGGUUCAGUGGUGCCGGAAAUUCGGAGAUCGCUCCUAUGAGCCUUCGCUUAGGGGUCAGAUUUAGAAGGAUAAGGUGUGGCUUAUGGUAGCCUCAGUCGCAGGUCACACACGAAAACCCAAAGUGAGGAUAAACAUGUAGAAAGCAGAUUAAUUCCAUGUUUGGACCGGGGUUCGACUCCCCGCAUCUCCACAA
rfam:Porphyromonas catoniae ATCC 51270 ctg7180000005757, whole genome shotgun sequence.